CACGCACGCAAAAAAACACCACCCGGCACAAACACCUCUCGUAUCGAUCCCCUCGAGGAGAAGCCGUCGCCCCCAUCUCCCGCUCCGCCGCCACCGCCCCCCGCCUUACCGUAUCACCCCCGCCGCCGCCUCCCUCGCCCGCGGCCAUGAUGAGAUCUGGCGUGGGCGCCGCAGAUCACCCUCUGGUGCAUGGCCUCGACCAGUUUGCUAUGAUCUGGCGACGGGGAUGCAAGGAGAAGCUGCUGCGGUUUCAAGGGGCCGUGAGGAUGCCCACCAUGAAGGCGUGUCUGGGAUGAUGGAGGUGAUAUCCAGGCCCUGGUGAUAUCGGCCAGGUCCCCGUUGCCGUCGACUGGCGGCGGCCACCGUGUCCUCUUCCAUGGCGUCGGCGGGGCCUUCCCCUGCCAAGCGCAGCCGCUCCUUGGCUGGAUCACCGUCGGACACCUCGCCGGCGUGGUCGGCAAGAUCUGCAUCUCGAUCCUCGCCACUCUCCAUCCUCUUGCAGGUUUAUAAAUUUCGAAAUAUAGUUGCAGCUUCACGGAAUGGACGGCCCAAAUUAUGUUAGUGUCUAUAUGUUUACUUGGUGGUGGUCUAGCAUGAGUGACACCUGCAUCUGUAACUUACCCAUUGGAUGUUGUUCGAAAUCACCUGACAACACAGAAAACCACUAGGUAUUACAAGGGCAUCUUUCACACGUUGUCUACAAUUUGUAGAGAAGAGAGUGGUAGAGGAUUGUAUAAAGGCCUUUGGUCCACCUUAUUGGGAGUUGGACCUGAUAUAUCAAUCAACGUUUAUGUAUAUGAAUCCCUGAGGUCUCAUUGGCAAAUGGAAAGUUGAAUGUCAAACUGUGCGACCAAUGAUUUGCUAUGGUUAAUUCCAGUUGGGUGUGUUAACCUACAGUAAUCAAUCAAGUCAACAAAUAUAACAAUGAUACUUUGUCUUCUGAUUUUUGGUGGUGAUUUUUUUUUGUGACUGAACUAACAGGAGCUGAAGCAUGUGUUCUUAUUUUUUUAUAUGACUAGAUGCAUAUGAACUGAAGCUCCAUAAUUUUCUUUUCAAGUCGACAUUGGUGGCAACCAAUACAAUUAGCGUUAUUUACAACCAAUGAAGUCUUAUAAUUUUCUUUCUUAGAAAUAUACAGUGACACUGACUAUCAUUUAGUAGCUCUACAGGCACUAGCCAAAAACAAUAAUGUUUAUUUAUUUAACCACCAAAUAGAACAAUAGGUUAUUCUGCAUUAUGGGUACACAAAUCACAACACUAUAUUUCAGCUGUAGAAAUCUGUGUGGAUGCCUGCUGAUAUUUUAAGCCUACAUAUUGCCGAUUUGGUUUGAGGAAUGCUUGAAGCAUAAUUUACUCCCUAAUGUGCAAAUAGCAGUAUCAUUUUUUGUCAAGAAACUGAGAAGACGGAAGAGAGUUGGUGUUGUCAGUGUGGUGAGCCUAUGCGGCAACCACAAGGCUGAAGUCUGCUUUGAUCGUUGUUCAAGAUUUGAGCCUUGGCUCCGGUUUUGAUAGCUCUAUUUCAACUUUCAGUGAGUUUUUGUUCUCGGACUUGGGAUCCACAGUCCAAAGUUGAUUGGUGGAUCAAGUGAACUUGGUGCAUCUCCAUUCAAGCUGGCGUACAAUUACCAACCUGCUUAUUUAGCGCAGUCUCUACAAUCAUACAAGCAAAUGAGCAUCUGUGGUGGCUUUGGGCGCGUGUUUGAGGCUGGUCCGGUAUUUAGAUCAGAAAAAUCAAACACUCACAGGCAUCUAUGUGAGUUUAUUGGGUUGGAUGCAGAAAUGGAGAUUAAGGAGCACUACUUUGAGGUUUGUGAUAUCAUAGAUUGCUAAUUGUAGCAAUAUUCAAACACCCAAAUGAAAAUUGUCAGAAGGAACUCGAGACAAUAAAUAGGCAGUAUCCAUUUGAACCUCUGAAGUACCUAGAGAAAACGUUGAAGCUAACGUACGAGGAAGGGAUUAAAAUGCUCAAGGUUUCAUUCUGGAAUCCUCUAGGCAGGGUGCUUGCAAUCCCCUACAUCUCGGCUGCAACAAAAAAGACCCAACGAGGCUGUUGUUUCAAGCUCAGACCCUCUUCAUUGCACGCGGUGCUAGAAGGAGAACUGGGUUGUGGUGCUGUUGCUGGUCGUUUUCCUUUUUACUUUUGCACUUUGGCCGUCAUAAACGAUACAUGCUUGCUCCCUGGAUGGAUCUCUUUCUCUCCCUGGAUCUUUUAAACAGGUGUUGUGAUUAAAAUUGUGAUAAAUCAGUGUUCAUCACUAUUCUUUUUGGACUUGAAUAGAUCUAUGUCUAAAUUACACAUAAUGUGUAGGAGAAAAUUACUAUAGCUGGACUUUCAUGUCUUUCUUGAAUCCAUGGCAAAGCAUAGUCACCUUAGUACUAUGUUGCUUUGCACAUGUCUUCUCAUGGCCUUAUUAAAGAUCUUGUUUCCAUGGCUUUAAACACAAGAUGAUAUUUUUGUAGCAUAUUUCAUAUAAGUUUUCCUCCUAUAAGGCUAUAAUUUCAAAUUCAAGCCCACCCAACACACAAAGUUUCUAUCUUCUUAUUUUCUAUACAAGUAGUAGCUGGCGCAGCGGUGGUGUUGAUGAACGACACCCAAUGCAGAGGCGGCAGUUACCAUAGGGAAGAGGUCAAGAACAUCUAGCUCUUGUGGUGUUCCUCCUCAUUGUUGUCAUCGCCAUCAAC
rnacentral:rRNA from 1 species